rnacentral:rRNA from 1 species
GACGUAGGGCGCGAGCGUUGUCCGGAUUUAUUGGGCGUAAAGAGCUCGUAGGCGGCUUGUCGCGUCGAAUGUGAAAACUCGAGGCUCAACUUCGAGCUUGCAUUCGAUACGGGCAGGCUAGAGUUCGGUAGGGGAGACUGGAAUUCCUGGUGUAGCGGUGAAAAUGCGCAGAUAUCAGGAGGAACACCGGUGGCGAAGGCGGGUCUCUGGGCCGAUACUGACGCUGAGACGCGAAAGCGUGGGGGAGCAAACAGG